rnacentral:lncRNA from 1 species
AGUGUUUGUGAAAGGCUGGUGUUGGAUGCCAGGGGAAAGCUUGUCCUGGAGAGACAGAUACAAUAAAGAAUGUUUUGAAUUUCUUCUAAGUUCUUUCAGUAUAAAUAAAAGAAUUCCUGUGAGGUAGUCUGUCUAGAAUUUAAGAAAAACAACAAACUAUUAAAAAGUAAAGAAUCAGUUCUGAAAACAAGUGUACAAAGAGGAGGGAGAAAAUGUGUACUGAAUAUUGAGGCUGUCCUUGCUCCUUGCUGUCAGAAAGCUCAUCUGAAUGUUCACCCUGUCCUGAGCCCUGUGCCAGGGUGUCCCUCUCUUCCCUGGAAGCCAGCAGCACCUCCUGAGGGAGAAGGGCUCUCCUCAGCACAGCCCUGACAGCAAAUUGAGGAGCAAAAUCCAGCCCUCUGCAAGCCAAGAUCCUGACUGAUGCAAAGACUAAUCCUCAUCUGUUAGAUCAGACAGUUCCACCAAGAGAAACAUUCCCCUUCUGUGGACAUCUGCAGAAUACCAUCAGGUCUGUUCUUUUCCCUUUUGCAUUACUGAAACAGAUUGCCUCUCUCCCUCCGUCAGGCUUCCCGGAUUUAAGCACCUUGUCGUGCAGUCCGUUCCAGGCAUGAGUCAUUUACAAAAGCAGAGAUGUGCAGAAGCAAACCUCCUGGCCAGGGCCACUGACUGUACCUGUGCACCAGAACUGCAUCUGCUCCAUCACAUUUGAGCCCACACAGGACUCGUAAAGUCUAGCAAGCAUUUGUCCUUAGGAUGUGAGUGCAGAAAUAGCGGGGCACGUGCCAGAACAGGAGUUGUUGGAGCCAGGGGAACUACAAGCCUGAGGACCACAUGUUAAAUGCUGGGUUAAGAGAACAUCCAUCCCUUGUGAUGAGAGGCUACAAUGCUGAAAUUGGCUGUGUGAUAUCACAGGCUGUCAGGUGCCAUUUUCAGUAAAUUAUGCUAAAAAAAUUUUAUUAUGGCAAUUGAAAAGGAAUCAGUUUUAAAUGGAGAUGUAGUCAAAUAGAAGGGAUAACUGGAC